rnacentral:rRNA from 1 species
GUGGGGAAUAUUGGACAAUGGGCGAAAGCCUGAUCCAGCCAUGCCGCGUGUGUGAAGAAGGUCUUCGGAUUGUAAAGCACUUUAAGUUGGGAGGAAGGGUAGUAACCUAAUACGUUGCUACUUUGACGUUACCGACAGAAUAAGCACCGGCUAACUUCGUGCCAGCAGCCGCGGUAAUACGAAGGGUGCAAGCGUUAAUCGGAAUUACUGGGCGUAAAGCGCGCGUAGGUGGUUCAGUAAGUUGGAAGUGAAAUCCCCGGGCUCAACCUGGGAACUGCUUUCAAAACUGCUGAGCUAGAGUACGGUAGAGGGUGGUGGAAUUUCCUGUGUAGCGGUGAAAUGCGUAGAUAUAGGAAGGAACACCAGUGGCGAAGGCGACCACCUGGACUGAUACUGACACUGAGGUGCGAAAGCGUGGGGAGCAAACAGGAUUAGAAACCCCGGUAGUC